rnacentral:lncRNA from 1 species
AGACCUGGCAGCUAAAUGCAAUUAGCUGUUCUGGAUGGAGUCUUGUGUAGGAAAGGAGCAUUGGUUAAAGAAUAAGGUAAAGUGACAACAGCCAGAUGCAUCUGCAAAGAGAGGCAGAGACAAAAAGAAGCAGACUGGACAUGGACACGGUCAGGGCUAUUUUGGAGAGAGUCAUGGGAGUCCACCCAGGAUCAGAGACAGUACGGGGAGUCAGGGAGACAGAAGGGCGGGCUUGAGACUUAGAACAAGUGUGUGUGCAAAGGGCCUGAGGGAGCUUGGAGGUGACUCGGACUUUCACACACACUCACGGGUGUAUGUCAGUGGUGGACCUGAGGAAUGCUGGCUUCAUCUGACCACCAGACACUCCUCUGUGGUCCAGCUUGAGCUCAUUUCUGGAUACAUACUCUGCCUGAGACUGGGCUUUAGUCAGUGAUGUCUUAGUUUGUGUUCACUAUUUUAACAAAGGUACCACACUGAUCUAAGGGGUUAACAGUGGGAGACUAAGCUUAAGGUGUUGUAUUUUCUUUGCAUUUUUUCUGUAAAGCAUUUAAAAACAUCUUUUUGGGUUUGGUACCCAGCUCCAAAAAAAAUUAAAAAAAA